UGUUUAACCUGGGGGAUCACCUUGACCCUUGCCACAAGAUGAAGGUCAACCACCACGCCCCCAGUUCCCAAUGAUUAACCUGGGAUCACCCCGGAGAGACUGCUGUGUAUCUGCAGGCCACAACACGAGGUCAACCACCAUGCCCCCAGGUUCCAGUGGAUGAACGAGUUCAAAUCAAGAAUGGAAAAGCCAUAUUCUGAUGGAUGACACAGUGACCCUGAUGUCAUGACGCCUCCAAACAAGAUACGGUCCCCACAGUUAAACCAUCGUCCAAACAGACAACUUAAAAAUCCUUGACUCUUUGCCCAUUAUCUUGAACAUCAGUGUUUACAAGUCACUGUCUCCAAAUCAUGCAAGAGCUCUUAAGUGUUCUUACAUGACCUGAUAGAUUUGUAAUUUAACCAAAGUUUCCAUAAUUAACUAAAUGUAGACUUCAGUUUGGAGUCGAUGAGCUGGGUUUCCGUAACACGACAGAGAACGAGGUCAGAGUCGACUCCUCACAUGGUAAGGCUUUAGUCCUUCCCCUUCUUCUCUGUGUGUGACGGAAAUCUGACCCAGGACCCGUACUGACCUGUGUGCUGUGGUUGAACAGUUUCCCAAACUAGACAAGGAUCCAUCUAGUUUUGUGAAUCGGUUCAACAAGGCACGCAAUAAUCAUCCUCACUCCUGAUAAAUCAGCAGUUGUUGAUGAGCUUUUUUCUUUUUUGGUCAUGUAUAACAACAUGAUCACUUGUAAACACGGCAUGUCUUAAGCAUUUGAGCGAAUCAGAGUCGAGCUUUUAAAACUGUCUGUGGGACAUCUUCAGGGUUUCACCCUCUGACCUCGAUCACUGUCAAGAAAAUAGUCAACCACCUUGUUGUGCGAGUGUUCCAGGAUGUGAUCCAGUGACGAGCCUCACCUCGAUUCACGGACACAUUCUACCUUGAACAGUUGCAGAAUUGACAAACCCAGGCUUUUGGGGGUGCCGACAUUGUGUCCUGCACAGCUGUGUGCUGUGAUGGGAGGAGCCAACGUGAACCAAAAUCUCCUUGAAGUUGCCUUUUUGACUAAUGGAUGGAUCAGGGUUUCCGUGCCACCAGGAUAUGGAUGAAGACUGGAAUGACCGAGAUGCAGCAGUGAUGGAGGUCAGGCCGUUCAUGAAGUGAUGCCUCGUCGCUAUGGGAUGUCGACACAUAUUCAGCCUGAAGAACCUGUGACCUGACCUCACAACAUGUUAAAUACCAUUAUAUGAUUACUUGAAACACCUUAAAGCCAGAGACUCAUCCAAACCAGUGUCUCCUGUCGAACAGGUCAGCAACUAUACAGUACACCACUCUGUCAGCUGUUGGCCCAUUAGACCAUUGGCAAAGCAGACAACUUGAAAUGGUUGAUCCUAAUUUUCCCAAACUCUUCAAUAUCACUUUUUACACGUCUAAAACAUGCUGGAGAUCGACUCGGGCUCUCCUGCGUGGCCCUCGGACUUAGUUGAAGGUGACAUAGACCGGAAGCU